rnacentral:lncRNA from 1 species
AAUCCAUUGUUAUUGGUUUAAAGAUUUUUAAAUUCCAUUCAAAUCUUUUGUUAUUCAAAAAGAUUAAUUUUUAUUGAUUUUGAUAUUUUAUUAAAUUCUAUGGUUAUUGGGAGCUAAAUUCUUUAUAUUUUUACUCAUAAGCCUAUACUUUGAAAAUAUCAUGUUUACUCAUAAGAUUUCUGAAAUCUAUGUAGUAAUAAAAACAUUCACAUACCGUAUGAUAUAUUUUUUCUUGUUUGACCUGUGAUUUUCAGAAGAUCUCUUUGUCGGUUAGUUUCGUAUUUGGCGUGUUCAAACAUAAUUUUUCGUUUGUAAGAGUGAUGCCUCAAAAAAAUGUCAAUGAAAAUAAGAUUGAUAUCUGUCACGUAAUAUGAAGAUAAAAAUGACUAUUUUCAUAACAAAGCAAAGAACA